GUCACGGAGGCGCAUCCAUGAACUCCGCUUCUUUGGAUUUCGGGGCCCAGCUGUUCUCUCUCCCCGGAGCCUGGGCUGCCGGAAUCUUACUGAGCUGCAGGAGCGCUCUGUCUCUGUCUCUCCUUUUCCUCUCUCCCUGCCCUCCCAUCUCUUCUUCUCUCUGUCUUUCUCCUCUCUUUCCUUUUCUCUCCCCUUCCCUCUUCCUCUCUCCAUCUCUGUGUGUGUGUGUCCCCCCCGCCCCCGGCAUUAACCGAUAUCCCCAACCUCACCUGCUGUUUUGGAGACCAGCCUCUCCGAGCCCGGGCAGCUGGGAGUGUCCCCCCGCCAGGCCCUUCGGAGGAGCCCGGGUUGCCCGCUCUCGCUCCCCUCCCGCAGUGCAUUGUUAUGCAGCCCCCUUUGUUCCGAGUUCCAGCCCGUUUCUCUCCACCUCGGAACCGCUUUGGGGCUUGGCCUGCCUCUCGCCAGCUUAUCCUCUGCGCGGCUCUGAGUGUGGCGCCGGCCGUCAGUAUUCCCCGGAUGCCUAAAGAGUUAGUACGGGUAGAAAUUGCCCAGCACGUUAGGGGUGUGGACGCGGUGUGUAGGAAGUCUCCCUGCUUUCCACAGCCCCCGAGUUGGGAGAAAUGACAAUUUGCUUUUCUCCAAAGGUAAACAGAGGCAAGAUCGUAAUGGUUCUGAUACCUGAUUAGCAUGGAACUGUGUACUUCAGGCUGGCCUUGAGCUUACUAUGUAGUAUAGGGUUGGCCUCGAAGGAGAUCCUCCUACUUCAGCCUCCCGAGUGCUGGGAUUACAGCAAAAAUGCACAUACUUUUAGAGGCUCGUAGACCUGGUGCCCACGAAGGUGCCGACCUUGGAUCAGAGCUCUGCCGGUGCCGCCCUGGAAUCCUAUCCAGAACAAGAUGGCUUUUUGAGAAGCAAUAAACAAAUUUUCUCUCAAUUUUCUAUAAUUUCCACAAACACUUUCAGCUUUGUAUGUUUGAAAUUCUGUGUGCUGUGGCAUGGUAAAUUACUCUCUAACUUGCUAUUUUCUUAGAAAGUUAACACAAACACUAGUAACUGGGAGGGGGUAGAGCUCCGGUGUUUCCCUCCGCUGUCCGUGGCAGUAAAGCGGCCUCUACUGGACAUUAAUGGUGAUUUCCAAGAACAAGGAGCUCUGGAAAUCAAGAAAUGGUGCAUGUGAGAGUAUGGGUUCACCCCAGCAUCACAAAAAAAAUGAAACCAAAAUCGAAACCCCAAAGCAAAAGACAGUAGAAGAUCAGCAGAACAGCACAGUUACCAGGACCAUGAAGAUCGGUUUCAGUAGUAAAGGUUUGUUACCAAAGUUUUAGGGCAAGAGUCAGAGACCACUACAGGGAGAAAGGACAAAAACUCCUGGGCCCCUAACCGGUCACUCAUUAAAAGUGCAAUUUAUGCUUUCUUCUGAGGCCCAGGGAGUUAAAAGCAGUUUUUGCUAAAACCCUUGAGUCUACCCAACAGGUAACUAAGAGUAGAACCAAACUUGGCCUUUCUUUUUGUAUCCUUUAUUACCUUAAAACAUUGGCUAUGCUUACGUUCCUCAUUUAGGAAAAGUUGGCAGAGCCAAGUUUAUUAGCCCCGAAUUUACCUGCCCCGUCUCAGCCCCCUUCAGACUGGAGGACACCAUGGGAGGGGUAACUAAAGUAAUGUUCAGUGUUCAGGGGGAUUCCGACGACCAGAUUUUAUAGUGUCCCGAUUCCACGCCCUUCCUCUCCUUGCAGCAACACCUAAGAAUCUCCAGCGGUUGUCCUCAUCCAAUAGUCAUCCGGGUCCCAGGAAGAGCAAGCUUCAUGUGACCGGGACCACACACAGGCGGUCUCCAUGGGAAUCCAGCUGCGCUCAACAGUCUCACUGGCUUGGGCCACUGGUGGCAAUGCAUGACUGUCCCACAGGCCGCUGGUACCACCUGUCGGGACCGUUCCAUGCCACCCGAGGGGACACUCAUGCACGUACCACUGGUGGCUCAGGGCCGCCUGGCCGCGAGGCAUACGUUGUGAUCUGUUCUUCUAGAGCUCGGAAGCAGGACUGAGAUAACGAUGACCAGGCUCCACCAUCUCAGCUGGUCCUGAAAAGCUGGCUUCCUGCUUUCGUGGCUGGGCCAGUCGGGGCCCCUGCCUUAGCGUGAGCCCCGGUCCAGCUAUUCGAACCAGAGAACCUUCCCCAUCUGCUAUUUCCUUGUUCAGGACCACCUUUAUCUUUGUCAGAGCUGUGCUCCCUUUUCUCUUACUUUGAAUGAAAGCUUUUUCCGGCAGAUUUGUUUAUAGUUUCAAUUUCAAUUCUCACGGAAGCCAGUGACGGAGCCCGGCCUGGCCACGCCUCCCGAGGUCCCCUAGUCAGACAGGGGAUGAGCCAGGGUUCCGGUGGGAAAGGAGCUUGAAUCAGGUCGGCCUGCUUCGAAGGACAGAGGGAGAGGUUUAAAAUGUCUCUUCCAGGCACUGACAGGAACUUUGGGGUUUUCUAGGAAAGGGGAACAAGGGUUGGGCUUUACACAGCUGGGGGUUUGCACAGGGGGCUUCAUCAGUAAUCCUGGUCUGGCUCUGCUCCACUGGAUCGGAAUCUCAGGACCCACUUUGUGAGGUCCAGGGAGACCCACUGUUCCCUGAAGGGGCAAUUUGGUUCCCAUGAUGAGUUGAUGGCUCCCCUUUGGGGGGCAGACUCCGUUCCCUUCGUGGGGUAAUUGCUUCUGCUUGGGGGGUGGCCUCAUCAUGGGGUGGUCUGCAAGGUUUGCUUUGCCUGAAAUCCCAGGGGACUGAGGUUUAGGGCUAUGGCUGGACAAUCCUAGGCAUUGCCCCAGGAGACUGAACUGGGCGUUGUAAAAGCUGGUAGGUAGGGCCGAGGAUUUAGCUUAGUGGUUUUGCCGCCUGCUACACAAGCGCAAAGACCCGAGUUCGAUCCCUGAUACCAAAAAAAAAAAAAAAAGUAGGUAAUCAGAUGUCCCUGAAAAUUCUGCAAAUUAUUUUACUUACUCUUAUCUCGGUGUCCUCAUCUUGAAGGGGUAAACUUGGGGCUAAGAAAACCUUGUGAUACCGACACUCCUUGAG
rnacentral:lncRNA from 1 species